UACAGAGGUCUCAAGCGUUGUUCGGAUUCAUUGGGCGUAAAGGGUGCGUAGGCGGCGCGGUAAGUCGGGCGUGAAAUCUCGGAGCUUAACUCCGAAACUGCAUUCGAUACUGCCGUGCUUGAGGACUGGAGAGGAGACUGGAAUUUACGGUGUAGCGGUGAAAUGCGUAGAUAUCGUAAGGAAGACCAGUGGCGAAGGCGGGUCUCUGGACAGUUCCUGACGCUGAGGCACGAAGGUCAGGGGAGCAAACAGG
rnacentral:rRNA from 1 species